CAGGCCUAACACAUGCAAGUCGAACGAUGUCUUUCGGGACAUAGUGGCGCACGGGUGCGUAACGCGUGGGAAUCUGCCCUGGGGUUCGGGAUAACCGUUGGAAACGACGGCUAAUACCGGAUGAUGAUGAAAAUCCAAAGAUUUAUCGCCCUGGGAUGAGCCCGCGUCGGAUUAGCUAGUUGGUGGGGUAAAGGCCUACCAAGGCGACGAUCCGUAGCUGGUCUGAGAGGAUGAUCAGCCACACUGGGACUGAGACACGGCCCAGACUCCUACGGGAGGCAGCAGUGGGGAAUAUUGGACAAUGGGCGCAAGCCUGAUCCAGCAAUGCCGCGUGAGUGAUGAAGGCCUUAGGGUUGUAAAGCUCUUUUACCCGGGAUGAUAAUGACAGUACCGGGAGAAUAAGCCCCGGCUAACUCCGUGCCAGCAGCCGCGGUAAU
rnacentral:rRNA from 1 species